UGUGGUAUUUGAUUUGCAGCUGAUCCAGUAAGAAGUGUUCUGGUCCCUCAAAGCUUGACUGAGGGCCAAUUUAAAACAUUUAUAGAGGAGGAAUACCCCCAACUGAAGAGCAAGUCAUUCGACAUGUGCAGAGUCAAUAGACAACGUGUUGUAAUUCCACUGAUCGAGGGGACACCUAAAGCAAUACGAAACAGUGGAGUGCUGGGAAGGUCAGCUCUCUACCUCCGGCCAAGUGUAAGCUCACUAAGGUUAUGUAAAAACCAAAAUGUAAUCAUCCAUUUUUUUAUUCAUAUCAAGUAUUGUUUAAUUACAUUUAACAGCAGCCUUUAAACAACAAUGAGGGUAACACCGUUUCAGUGGUGAGUAACUAAUAAUAACUAAUGUACUGUGCAGUAUACUGUGCAUAAUAAUCAGACAAAAGACGUUCAGUAUAAAAUUUGGGUUGACAUUUUUGGUAUGUUUACAAAUUUAAGGAAUCCAUUGACUCAGCAACAACAGACGACGAAUUGGUCAUCAAUGAAAGUGAUGAUUCCCCACUAGGUCAAAAUCAUAAUGAUGAUGAUGUUUUUGUUGAUGGUGAUGAGGAAGUGGUCAUCAUUAACAGUGAUAAUUCUUCAGAAAGCCAUCAUGCCAGUGAUGAUGAUAGCACUACUGAAAUGGUCAUCAAUGAAAGUGAAGUAUCCUCACUAAGUCAUCAUGGUGAUGAUAAUGCUGAUAAUGAAAUGGUCAGCAUUGAAAACAAUCAUUCAAAUCAAGAUCAUCAAGUUGGGGCAGAAACAGAGAGUGUAGAGGAAAGAAGGAGACUGAUUGAAGAGCAAGAUUCUGAAUAUGAACAGUCCUUGCUGUCGGACAGAGAAAAGGUAAUUUAAUUUUUUUUUUAAACAGCAGAAAUUCAGAAGCCUACAUAUGUAACUAUGUUAAUGACAUGUAUUGUACAGAUUAAUAAU